UUCAGAAUGGCCAAGCGGUCAAAGGCGGUGCGUUCAUGUCGGUUUUGGCGUGGGUUCGAAUCCCAUCUUCUGAUAA